GAUGAACGCUGCGGCGUGCCUAAUCCAUGCAAGUCGAGCGAACGGACGAGAAGCUUGCUUCUCUGAUGUUAGCGGCGGACGGGUGAGUAACACGUGGAUAACCUACCUAUAAGACUGGGAUAACUUCGGGAAACCGGAGCUAAUACCGGAUAAUAUUUUGAACCGCAUGGUUCAAAAGUGAAAGACGGUCUUGCUGUCACUUAUAGAUGGAUCCGCGCUGCAUUAGCUAGUUGGUAAGGUAACGGCUUACCAAGGCAACGAUGCAUAGCCGACCUGAGAGGGUGAUCGGCCACACUGGAACUGAGACACGGUCCAGACUCCUACGGGAGGCAGCAGUAGGGAAUCUUCCGCAAUGGGCGAAAGCCUGACGGAGCAACGCCGCGUGAGUGAUGAAGGUCUUCGGAUCGUAAAACUCUGUUAUUAGGGAAGAACAUAUGUGUAAGUAACUGUGCACAUCUUGACGGUACCUAAUCAGAAAGCCACGGCUAACUACGUG
rnacentral:rRNA from 1 species